AGUGAACGCUGGCGGCGUGCCUAAUACAUGCAAGUCGAACGGAGUGGCGCACGGGUGAGUAAUAUAUAGCUAAUCUGCCCCUUGCUGGAGGACAACAGUUAGAAAUGACUGCUAAUACUCCAUAGCAAGUGAUGAGACUAUAUCGUAUCAGCUAGUCGGUGGGGUAACGGCCUACCGAGGCUAUGACGCGUAACUUGUCUGAGAGGAUGAUCAGUCACAUUGGAACUGAGACACGGGCCAAACUCCUACGGGAGGCAGCAGUAGGGAAGAUUGCGCAAUGGGGGAAACCCUGACGCAGCAACGCCGCGUGGAGGAUGACACUUUUCGGAGCGUAAACUCCUUUUGUUAAGGGGGUGAGAGUGGAAAGUUCACACAGUGACGGUACUUAACCAGAAAGGGACGGCUAACUACGUGCCAGCAGCCGCGGUAAUUC
rnacentral:rRNA from 1 species